AACGAACGCUGGCGGCAUGCCUAACACAUGCAAGUCGAACGAAGGCUUCGGCCUUAGUGGCGCACGGGUGCGUGACACGUGGGAAUCUGCCCUUUGCUUCGGAAUAACAGUUAGAAAUGACUGCUAAUACCGAAUAAUGUCGCAAGACCAAAGAUUUAUCGGCAAAGGAUGAGCCCGCGUAGGAUUAGCUAGUUGGUGGGGUAAAGGCUCACCAAGGCGACGAUCCUUAGCUGGUCUGAGAGGAUGAUCAGCCACACUGGGACUGAGACACGGCCCAGACUCCUACGGGAGGCAGCAGUGGGGAAUAUCGGACAAUGGGCGAAAGCCUGAUCCAGCAAUGCCGCGUGAGUGAUGAAGGCCUUAGGGUUGUAAAGCUCUUUUACCAGGGAUGAUAAUGACAGUACCUGGAGAAUAAGCUCCGGCUAACUCCGUGCCAGCCGCCGCGGUAACAC
rnacentral:rRNA from 1 species